AACGCACCUUGCGCCCUUUGGCUAUUCCGAAGGGCAUGCCUGUUUGAGUAUCAUGAACACCUCAACUCUCAUGGCCUGCCAUGAUGAGCUUGGAUUUUGGGGGUCUUGCCGGCCUAACCGUUGGCUCCUCUCAAAUGAAUCAGCUUGCCAGUGUUUGGUGGCAUCACAGGUGUGAUAACUAUCUACGCUUGUGGUUCUCCACCAGGUAACCUUCAGCAAUGGAGGUUCGCUGGAGCUCACAGACGUCUCUCCUCAGGGAAGACAGCUUUUUGAACGUUUGAUCUCAAAUCAGGUAGGACUACCCGCUGAACUUAA
rnacentral:misc_RNA from 1 species